AUUAGAUAAAGACCUCCUAAUACUCUUCGAAAAUCUCACCAGCCUUCGUUAGAGUCGACUUAGCUAACUAUCGUUACGCUUGCGUCUAUCUGCCUAGUCUGAUUUCGAUUUUCAUUGAGUACCCUUUAUUUAAUGAAAUCCCAAACUUUUCUUUUUCAUCAUAAUCUCCUAAAGAAGUCACCCAAUCAGGUGGCUUUUUU
rnacentral:misc_RNA from 1 species